rnacentral:rRNA from 1 species
GAUGAACGCUAGCUACAGGCUUAACACAUGCAAGUCGAGGGGCAGCAUGGUCUUAGCUUGCUAAGGCCGAUGGCGACCGGCGCACGGGUGAGUAACACGUAUCCAACCUGCCGUCUACUCUUGGACAGCCUUCUGAAAGGAAGAUUAAUACAAGAUGGCAUCAUGAGUCCGCAUGUUCACAUGAUUAAAGGUAUUCCGGUAGACGAUGGGGAUGCGUUCCAUUAGAUAGUAGGCGGGGUAACGGCCCACCUAGUCUUCGAUGGAUAGGGGUUCUGAGAGGAAGGUCCCCCACAUUGGAACUGAGACACGGUCCAAACUCCUACGGGAGGCAGCAGUGAGGAAUAUUGGUCAAUGGGCGAGAGCCUGAACCAGCCAAGUAGCGUGAAGGAUGACUGCCCUAUGGGUUGUAAACUUCUUUUAUAAAGGAAUAAAGUCGGGUAUGCAUACCCGUUUGCGUGUACUUUAUGAAUAAGGAUCGGCUAACUCCGUGCCAGCAGCCGCGGUAAUACGGAGGAUCCGAGCGUUAUCCGGAUUUAUUGGGUUUAAAGGGAGCGUAGAUGGAUGUUUAAGUCAGUUGUGAAAGUUUGCGGCUCAACCGUAAAAUUGCAGUUGAUACUGGAUAUCUUGAGUGCAGUUGAGGCAGGCGGAAUUCGUGGUGUAGCGGUGAAAUGCUUAGAUAUCACGAAGAACUCCGAUUGCGAAGGCAGCCUGCUAAGCUGCAACUGACAUUGAGGCUCGAAAGUGUGGGUAUCAAACAGGAUUAGAUACCCUGGUAGUCCACACGGUAAACGAUGAAUACUCGCUGUUUGCGAUAUACAGCAAGCGGCCAAGCGAAAGCGUUAAGUAUUCCACCUGGGGAGUACGCCGGCAACGGUGAAACUCAAAGGAAUUGACGGGGGCCCGCACAAGCGGAGGAACAUGUGGUUUAAUUCGAUGAUACGCGAGGAACCUUACCCGGGCUUAAAUUGCAGAUGAAUUACGGUGAAAGCCGUAAGCCGCAAGGCAUCUGUGAAGGUGCUGCAUGGUUGUCGUCAGCUCGUGCCGUGAGGUGUCGGCUUAAGUGCCAUAACGAGCGCAACCCUUGUUGUCAGUUACUAACAGGUUCCGCUGAGGACUCUGACAAGACUGCCAUCGUAAGAUGUGAGGAAGGUGGGGAUGACGUCAAAUCAGCACGGCCCUUACGUCCGGGGCUACACACGUGUUACAAUGGGGGGUACAGAGGGCCGCUACCACGCGAGUGGAUGCCAAUCCCAAAAACCUCUCUCAGUUCGGACUGGAGUCUGCAACCCGACUCCACGAAGCUGGAUUCGCUAGUAAUCGCGCAUCAGCCACGGCGCGGUGAAUACGUUCCCGGGCCU